UCCUAGAACUGGGGGUUACUAUCUUGGAAUCUGGGGGCACUCCAGACUAUGGGCUCAGACUGCAGACUUCUGCCUACUCCGGCCUUAGCCUUUCAAAGACCCGAAGGAUUCCUGAGCUUUUUGCCCUAGGUGCUGGGGCAGCGAUGACUCACCGCAGCACCCCCUCCCACUUCGCCAAGCUGCCGUCUCCGCCCACCCCCAAACAAUCCCGACAUCGCACUUCGGGCGCCAGGGCUCCGGGCGCUUUGCUGGGGGCUAAAGGAAUUUAUCCCUUUCCUAGAAUCCCAGCAGGAAUUCCUAGAACUACCCCCUCCCAGGCUUCAAGCUUGCCACCCUCCCCACCGGAUCCUUCCAUUGCGAGGCAGAGAAGGAUGCGCUUGGGAACUUGAAGACCCACGAACGACAGCGCACAGAGGGAGCAGCCCAGUGUCCGGGGAAACAGUGGAUAAUACUGUAUUCAGUUCUCCUGACAACCCCAUGAAACAGCUUGGAGGAUGGUGUCAUUCACUGGGAUGGAGAAGACUGAGGAAAAAAAUGUUUGAUAAGGCGGGAAUAGGGCGGAGAUAUUGGAGAGACACUGUAGUGGAAUGUCAGUGAGGCAGUUGGUGUCCAGGAGAGGAGUCUAGGUUGGAGCGUGGAAAGACAAUCUCCCCAUGUGCAAGUUCUAGACGAGCAAGGACCUUAUCUGGAUCACUGGCAUUGUGUUUCCAGUGGCUAGCAUAGCACCCAGCAUAUAGUACCUGCACAGUAAAUAUUUGUGGAAUGAAUGCAGCCA